CCGCGGCUGCGGCUGCUGCUGCUGCGCUCCGAAGGGUUAAAAGCUUUCGAGCCCCAUGCGUGGGAGGGGUCGGGGCAGUGUGGGGAGAAACGCAGGAAAAGUAGGUCAGCUGCUCCCAGCGGCGGGACCCCCCCCCCCCCCCCCCCCCCCCCCCCCCCCCCCCCCCCCCCCCCCCCCCCCCCCCCCCCCCGGAGGCAGGGGGCGGCGGGGGGCUCUCCCUUGCCCCGGGCUGCAGGCUGACUCCGCCCUGACUCCAGGCGCCUGCAGACAAUUUGCUCCCGGCCAUCAGCAGGUUAAACCAAAUGGCUCUGGCUGUCUCUCAGACAUGUGAGUGAAUGGAUGUGCCGCCCCAAAACUCCCAGCCCUCAGAUCACAUACUACUUAUGUGAAAACAGUGGGUAAGCUUCUGGCAGCUCUUCCUGCUUAAAAUGGGUUGGGGAAAAGCAGCAUGUAAUUUUCUGGCAGCAACACCAGAACAGUAAAACUAAUGAGUCCCCACAACUAUUCCCACCUGUUCUAAGAGCAAUAUAUAUAUUGGAUAUAUACCCACCCAUGAGUCUAUCUGUGAUGUUAACUCAAACUAUAAAAAAGCCCCCAAAACAACCCAACCCAGGCCCCAGACUUUCCCAUAUAGGAAAAAGAGUGUAAAAGAGCAGGUGGAAAUUCACCUGUUCUGACAUCUCACUUUAGUUGGGUCUAAACUCCAUCCAUAGAAGGGAAUAAAAGCAGGACAGAUGCGUCACCAGAAGCAUCAACCCGAGGGUAAUACUGACCAGAGAUACUGUAAUCCAUGAAUAUGGAGCAAGAUGAGGGUGAGUCAGCAGAAGAUGUUUGUCUUCUAUGCAGAAUCCUAAAAUUUGUCUGUCUGUUACAGGAAAUUACACUAAUACUGAAUCACAGUUCUGUACACAUCAUCAUCCUGUACAGAUGUUUUCCAUGGUGAGGAAGUUGUUAGGUAGGUUUUAAAAUUUUAUGCAAUAAUUUUAGUUCAAAAUGUAUCCUACAGCAUCCAGUUUUUCUUGUGCAAGAAAGUAUCUGCAGUAUUUAUGACUUCUAUUCUCUCUCUCUAUUCUCUUCUAUUCUCAGUGAAAGCUGACCAAUACACACCUUCCAUAUUCUACCUGGAAAAGACAAAUAGUUUGCAAUUAGUCUCUAACAAAACACACAGAAGAUGAAAGAACUGAAA
rnacentral:lncRNA from 12 species